UACGUAGGGGGCAAGCGUUGUCCGGAUUUAUUGGGCGUAAAGAGCUUGUAGGCGGUUUGUCGCGUCUGCCGUGAAAGUCCGGGGCUCAACUCCGGAUCUGCGGUGGGUACGGGCAGACUAGAGUGAUGUAGGGGAGACUGGAAUUCCUGGUGUAGCGGUGAAAUGCGCAGAUAUCAGGAGGAACACCGAUGGCGAAGGCAGGUCUCUGGGCAUUAACUGACGCUGAGGAGCGAAAGCGUGGGGAGCGAACAGG
rnacentral:rRNA from 1 species